GUACAUGAAUCAACAUCAGUAUCAUCCACUGGAGGAGCUAGUCCAUCAGCUACUGUUGAUGUCAAUAAAGUAAAGAAAGUGAUUGAUGAUGUUCUUGUAUCUCAUGAUGCUGCUCUCAAUUCUUUGCCUAAGAAAGGUCUUUCUGAACUUACUAGUCAGCUUUACACAGUUCGUCUGGUCAAUAAUGCAGUGAGACAAGCUCCUUCAAUGAAAGAGUGCAUUGAUGAGUUCAAGGCUAGUCUUAGUUUUAAGAGGAAGUUGCCUAAAGUGGAGAAGCACUGUCAAAAGUUCUUAAACUCAUUCAUUGCUGUAAGAGGCAGUUAUGCUGAUGCAGCAGAAGCUUUAGGUGAGGACUGGAUUGAAGCUAUUAGGAAUGAACUGGGACUUGAUUUUAAUAUUAAUAUUGAUGCUUAAUAUAAUUGAUUUGCAUUGUCAUUAUUGCUUGUUUUAAAUAAUUUUUUAAAAA